AAUAGAUACCCGGGUAGUCCAUGCUGUAAACGAUGAGAACUAGAUGUUAGGGGGCAUGACCUCUUAGUAUCGAAGCUAACGCGAUAAGUUCUCCGCCUGGGGAGUACGGCCGCAAGGUUAAAACUCAAAGAAAUUGACGGGGGCCCGCACAAGCGGUGGAGCAUGUGGUUUAAUUCGAUGCAACGCGAAGAACCUUACCUACCUUUGAAUCCACGGAACCUAGCAGAGAUGUUGGGGUGCCUUCGGGAACCGUGAGACAGGUGCUGCAUGGCUGUCGUCAGCUCGUGUCGUGAGAUGUUGGGUUAAGUCCCGUAACGAGCGCAACCCUUGUCCUUAGUUGCCAUCAGGUUAUGCUGGGCACUUUAAGGAGACUGCCGGUGAUAAACCGGAGAAGUGGGGAUGACGUCAAGUCCUCAUGGCCCUUACAGGUAGGGCUACACACGUGCUACAAUGGGCAGUACAGAGGGAAGCCAAACCCGGCGAGGGGGGAGCGAAUCUCAUAAAAGCUGUUCGUAGUCCGGAUUGGAGUCUGCAACUCGACUCC
rnacentral:rRNA from 1 species